UGAGCAAUCUGCCCUUCACAUCGGAAUAACCAUUGGAAACGAUGGCUAAUACCGAAUAUGACUUCGGAUCGCAUGAUCGGAGGUGGAAAGCUCCGGCGGAGAAAGGAUGAGCUCGCGGCCUAUCAGCUAGUUGGUGUGGUAAUGGCCCACCAAGGCGACGACGGGUAGCCGGCCUGAGAGGGUGACCGGCCACACUGGGACUGAGACACGGCCCAGACCUCGUACGGGA
rnacentral:rRNA from 1 species